GACGAACGCUGGCGGCGUGCUUAACACAUGCAAGUCGAACGAAGUGGCGAACGGGUGAGUAACGCGUAAUCAACCUGCCCUUCAGAGGGGGACAACAGUUGGAAACGACUGCUAAUACAGCAUACUGAAGGAGGUGAUUGCGUCUGAUUAGCUAGUUGGCGGGGUAACGGCCCACCAAGGCGAUGAUCAGUAGCCGGUCUGAGAGGAAGAACGGCCACAUUGGGACUGAGACACGGCCCAGACUCCUACGGGAGGCAGCAGUUGGGAAUCUUCGGGAAUGGACGAAAGGCUGACGGAGCAACGCCGCGGGGGUGAUGACGGCCUUCGGGUUGGAAAGCUCUGUUAAUCGGGACGCGGUACCGGAAUAGAAAGCCACGGCUAACUACGUGCCAGCAGCCGCGGUAAUAC
rnacentral:rRNA from 1 species